UGUGGAAUAUUGGACAAUGGGGGGAAACCUGAUCCAGCCAUGCCGCGUGUGUGAAGAAGGCCUUAUGGUUGUAAAGCACUUUAAGCGAGGAGGAGGGUACUGGUAUUAAUACUACCAGGUACUGGACGUUACUCGCAGUAUAAGCACCGGCUAACUCUGUGCCAGCAGCCGCGGUAAUACAGAGGGUGCGAGCGUUAAUCGGAUUUACUGGGCGUAAAGCGUGCGUAGGCGGCUAAUUGAGUCGGAUGUGAAAUCCCCGAGCUUAGCUUGGGAAUUGCAUUCGAUACUGGUUAGCUAGAGUGUGGGAGAGGAUGGUAGAAUUCCAGGUGUAGCGGUGAAAUGCGUAGAGAUCUGGAGGAAUACCGAUGGCGAAGGCAGCCAUCUAGCCUAACACUGACGCUGAGGUACGAAAGCAUGGGGAGCAAACAGG
rnacentral:rRNA from 1 species